CUCUGGAGGACCAAAAGAGGAGGCUAAAGGCUCUUUUCUAGAAGCUAAGAAAAAACAAGCUGAAGUCUCUGCUCUCAAGUGGCUAACACUUUUAAGUGGAAAAGGCUGAGGAGAAUGAAUAAAGGGAUUCAACAUGGAUAUGGGAAGCAGGCGUAGAGUGUUGGACAGAGCCAGAGUGGAGGCGCAUGGUGCCAGAAAGCCAAUAUCGUCACUGUGUCCAAGAGUCGUAAUACAUAUCCAGCAUGAAAGAUCAGAAUUGGAAGUAAAAAUCAAGAGUGGAGCUGUGGAGUACCCAGUGGGGGUUGUGAAGGAAGAUGACAAUAAAGAU